UGUUUUGUUUUUUGUUUUAUUUUGAAUUCAGGAACGACUAGUAGUGAGUAUUACUUUUUUCAUAUUUUUCUCCUCUGUCUAAGUUCUACAUUUGUCUCUUUCUCCAUUUCAACUUUUUCGCCCUACCUUAAUUCUUGGUUUGUCAGUUGACGUGUCGUUAGUUUCCAAUACUUGACUCCACCCUGAUUGCUAUAAAGAUAC
rnacentral:lncRNA from 1 species